rnacentral:rRNA from 1 species
UGGGGAAUAUUGCACAAUGGGCGCAAGCCUGGUGCAGCCAUGCCGCGUGUGUGAAGAAGGCCUUCGGGUUGUAAAGCACUUUCAGCGGGGAGGAAGGCGGUGAGGUUAAUAACCUCAUCGAUUGACGUUACCCGCAGAAGAAGCACCGGCUAACUCCGUGCCAGCAGCCGCGGUAAUACGGAGGGUGCAAGCGUUAAUCGGAAUUACUGGGCGUAAAGCGCACGCAGGCGGUCUGUCAAGUCGGAUGUGAAAUCCCCGGGCUCAACCUGGGAACUGCAUUCGAAACUGGCAGGCUAGAGUCUUGUAGAGGGGGGUAGAAUUCCAGGUGUAGCGGUGAAAUGCGUAGAGAUCUGGAGGAAUACCGGUGGCGAAGGCGGCCCCCUGGACAAAGACUGACGCUCAGGUGCGAAAGCGUGGGGAGCAGACAGGAUUAGAUACCCUGGUAGUCCACGCUGUAAACGAUGUCGAUUUGGAGGUUGUGCCCUUGAGGCGUGGCUUCCGGAGCUAACGCGUUAAAUCGACCGCCUGGGGAGUACGGCCGCAAGGUUA